rnacentral:rRNA from 1 species
ACGGUAACAGGUUAAGCUGACGAGUGGCGAACGGGUGAGUAAUAUAUCGGAACGUGCCCAGUCGUGGGGGAUAACGCAGCGAAAGCUGUGCUAAUACCGCAUACGAUCUCUGGAUGAAAGCGGGGGACCUUCGGGCCUCGCGCGAUUGGAGCGGCCGAUAUCAGAUUAGCUAGUUGGCGGGGUAAAGGCCCACCAAGGCGACGAUCUGUAGCUGGUCUGAGAGGACGACCAGCCACACUGGAACUGAGACACGGUCCAGACUCCUACGGGAGGCAGCAGUGGGGAAUUUUGGACAAUGGGCGCAAGCCUGAUCCAGCAAUGCCGCGUGCAGGAUGAAGGCCUUCGGGUUGUAAACUGCUUUUGUACGGAACGAAAAGGUCUGCCCUAAUACGGUGGGCCCAUGACGGUACCGUAAGAAUAAGCACCGGCUAACUACGUGCCAGCAGCCGCGGUAAUACGUAGGGUGCGAGCGUUAAUCGGAAUUACUGGGCGUAAAGCGUGCGCAGGCGGUUAUAUAAGACAGAUGUGAAAUCCCCGGGCUCAACCUGGGACCUGCAUUUGUGACUGUAUAGCUAGAGUACGGUAGAGGGGGGAUGGAAUUCCGCGUGUAGCAGUGAAAUGCGUAGAUAUGCGGAGGAACACCGAUG